UACAGAGGUGGCAAGCGUUGUUCGGAAUUACUGGGCGUAAAGGGCGCGUAGGUGGCCUUCUUAGUCAGACGUGAAAUCCCUAGGCUUAACCUGGGAACUGCGUCUGAUACUGGAAGGCUCGAGUUCGGGAGAGGAAUGUGGAAUUCCAGGUGUAGCGGUGAAAUGCGUAGAUAUCUGGAGGAACACCGGUGGCGAAGGCGGCAUUCUGGACCGAAACUGACACUGAGGCGCGAAAGCCAGGGGAGCAAACGGG
rnacentral:rRNA from 1 species